CCGAAAAUUCCCCUUUACUUGUAAAUCAUAAAUAUGUUUCCCAACUCUUCCCCAGAAUAAAACAGAAGAGGCAUCUCUCCAAGUUACGUCAGGGAAAUGGUCAAAAACAAAAUUAACAAAAGCUUUUAAAUCCCUCUUUUUAAAAGAAACAUCUCCCAGAACGAGGGCAGACUUAACUUGGAGAUAAAAAUCCCGUCUAACCAGAGAAAGACGGUUACCCAUUAUCUCUCGACAGAGAUUCCCCCCCCCCCCGAAGCAAAUGGAGAAAGAAAAAAGAAGAGCCUGAGUCAGAUGCUGCGAGGAGCAGCAGGCAGCCGCACUGCAAACUCACCACCAGAAGGACGCAGGCAAAAAGAAAGGUGCUCCGAAUGGGUGGUGGAUCUCUGCUGGUCCCGGAGAUUCUAAAGCUUCCCCUGAAGCUGAGGAUUGGAAGUCUGCGGGUUAUCAGCAGGUCCAGAGACAGCAGUCUUCCAAGAUGAAAGUGCAGCCGCCCUGGAAACUGAUGCCGAACAACGCUUAAAAUCCUCAGGAAGCUGGGUCACAGAUCCGAGAGUCCUUCGGAGACGUUCAGGGCUGAACAAGCAGGUGUUCAGCCUGUUCGGGCACCAGUUGAGGCAUCCUGGACCUUGGUCCUGUGGGGAAACCCGCUGGUGGCCGGUCGACAGGAGCCACGAUAACUAGGAGGAUGGAUCCACCAAUAGACGGGACGACACCCAGAGCGCUGCAGUUCUCAAGGGUUUAUUGCAGCAGUUUCCCAUGGCAUCCCUGACAGAUCCCCUCCAGGACCACCUCCCACAGCGCUGGGUGGUUAGCCGCAGCCAGAGGUAUGGCCAGAGGCACCCUGCCCACAACAGUAAAAAGCUUUAUAUAUUCUUGGUAAGCCAACCCCCACAUUCAUACAUAUUCCACUCUUCCAACACUGCUUCUCCUUCAUCCCAUCUUCCCAGUGCUUGUGCAGUCCUUCUUGCUUCGACUCCCCACAAUGGUCAAAGAUCAGCAUUACAACUUACAUCAUUAACACAAUAAUCAUAUUAGAAAAACUCCAAAUCUUAACAAAGCUUCUUUUAACAUUAUAACGCACGCCUGUACCAUACCACCUGUUUAUAACAACAGUAAAUGGAGACUAACUGGGAAUCUGUCCCAAAAUCACGCAACUGCUCUAAAACAAACAAUUGCAGUCACUGCCAAACAAAACUCGAUAAUCUUGUUUUCUUCUCUUACAUGAACAUAGCAAAGGGACAUGGUGCUGCUGGAGACAGAAGAAAGCACCAAACCAGUGCUCCAUAAUGUGACAUUGUCAGUGCUCCAAUUUCUAGACCACAGUCAUCUGCUCUAUUCAGUAAUACCACAAGGCAAAGAAAUGUAUGUUUCCUCUCUUUAAGCAAUUGGCUACCAAGCCUGUAGCUUAACUGAUUAAAAAAUAUCUGAGCACUAA